GUGUGUGAAAGGAAAUUAAUCCUUACACACCCAUCACCAUUUCCAUCACCAUUUCCAUCACCAUUCAAAUAAAUAUCUAAUGCAAUAAAUCAUUUGAAAAACAUAAAACAUAAACUUUAUGAAAUUAAUCAAAACUUUGAAUCAAAACACAAACCUUUUUGUUCUUGGCAAAAAUGUCAAGAACAAUGAAGAACAUUCAUGAAAAAACCCAAAAUUUUUCCAUGAACUUUUUCCACCCAAAAACAUUCCAAAACCAUUCAAACUUUAGGGAAAUAACAUCUAACCAAACUAGGGUACAUAGGGGUUCCAAAAAGUCACUUGAAAACACUUUUAACAAGUCAAACAAGAACCCAAAAAUCCACCCUUU
rnacentral:lncRNA from 1 species